rnacentral:rRNA from 1 species
CCUACGGGAGGCAGCAGUGGGGAAUAUUGCACAAUGGGCGAAAGCCUGAUGCAGCAACGCCGCGUGAGCGAUGAAGGCCUUCGGGUCGUAAAGCUCUUUCCUUAAGGAAGAUAAUGACGGUACUUGAGGCGGAAUCCCCGGCUAACUACUUUCCAGCAGCCGCGGUAAUACGUCGGGGGCUAGCGUUAUCCGGAAUUACUGGGCGUAAAGGGGGCGUAGUUGGUUUCUUAAGUCAGAGGUGAAAGGCUACGGCUAAACCGUAGUAAGCCUUUGAAACUGGGAAAGUUGAGGGCAGGAGAGGAGAGUGGAAGUCCUGGUGUAGCGGUGAAAUGCGUAGAUAUUAGGAGGAACACCAGUUGCGAAGGCGACUGUCUGGACUGUGACUGACACUGAGGCACGAAAGCGUGGGGAGCAAACAGGAUUAGAUACCCGAGUAGUC